GGGGUAGGGGCUCAGGGGUACAGACCUCAGCUGGAUAAUGGGAGCUGAGUGCAGAUGUUAUCUGUUCAGCCUGGGUGUGGUGGGUUGUUCCAAGAAGCAUCUGCAUGAGAAAAAACGCCUGUAUCUGAGCCUC